rnacentral:rRNA from 1 species
GAGCUUGACUGCGAGACCUACAAGUCGAGCAGGGACGAAAGUCGGGCUUAGUGAUCCGGUGGUUCCGCAUGGAAGGGCCAUCGCUCAACGGAUAAAAGCUACCCUGGGGAUAACAGGCUUAUCUCCCCCAAGAGUCCACAUCGACGGGGAGGUUUGGCACCUCGAUGUCGGCUCAUCGCAUCCUGGGGCUGAAGUAGGUCCCAAGGGUUGGGCUGUUCGCCCAUUAAAGCGGUACGCGAGCUGGGUUCAGAACGUCGUGAGACAGUUCGGUCCCUAUCCGUCGCGGGCGCAGGAAAUUUGAGAGGAGCUGUCCUUAGUACGAGAGGACCGGGAUGGACACACCGCUGGUGUACCAGUUGUUCCGCCAGGAGCAUAGCUGGGUAGCUACGUGUGGAAGGGAUAAGUGCUGAAAGCAUCUAAGCAUGAAGCCCCCCUCAAGAUGAGAUUUCCCAUGGAGUUAAUCCAGUAAGACCCCUCAGAGAUGAUGAGGUUGAUAGGUCUGGUGUGGAAGCGUGGCGACACGUGAAGCUGACAGAUACUAAUCGGUCGAGGACUUAUCCAAU